rnacentral:lncRNA from 1 species
UCUGAAUUGAUCCCAUUAGAUAUUGCCCGUUUUUAAGUUCCUGGACUAAUUAAUAAAGCUCUUUUUACUUCAAAAUCCAAAACAUCUGGUAAAUUACCUAGUUCUGAAGCAUGUUAUUUUACAUUGCAUCAGAUUUUUGUUGUUUGUAUGUAGCUUUAAAAGAGACUUUAUACUGUGUGAGACUACAAACUUUCUCAGGGAAUGAUCUGUAUCUCUAAUGCAAUUAAGAAGCAAACUUAGAAAUGUUAAGGUACUUACACAUGGUCACAGAUUUAGCACCUUGAAGAAUUUUUAUUUUAAUCAAGCGAUUUCACCACACAAAUGGAGCCAUACAGAAAUCAACUCAGCGGCACAACGAGAAUGCUAAUAUUUUAUAAAACAUACCUUGAUAUACACCUUAGAGUUACAUCUUAAAUAAAUACAAACAUCAACAUAUUGCUUUAGAUUUUAUUUGCACAAUAAGAAAAGCUCAUUUUAUUAGACAAUCUUCAGUUUUGGUCUUACCUGUUUCACUAUUCCAGUUUAUCUGUUGAACCACCAAUGAUCACAUCAGGAGGAAAUCCAGGAUCUUCCUCUUAAAACAAAACAUUUUCCCUUAAUAACCUUUCAUAUAAUUCAAGAACACCGGGAGCCAAAGGUUCAAUAUUGACUCCAAAUCCCUGGUUGAUAAGAAUCCUGGAUUAUCUCGUCAGUCCAUAAACAUGCCCAUAGUCCACUACCAUCAAUUAUUAUUAAAUAGGGUCAUUAUUGAGCACUGGUCUACAAAGCUCUGAAUGGCUAGCACAAAAGUGCUCUGGGAAUCGAGGGAACUUAGGACUCCUCUAUUACAAUUUCUGUAUUCUUGUCCUCAACCUAAUUAUCCCAUAAGGGUAUGGGAUCUAUUGGUGAUAGUCAGAGGCAUGAUCCCAGAAGGAAACAGCCUAACUCCAGAGCAUAUAAACCCUUAUGUUGAGCCCAGGUUAUGAAUUCAAACCUCUUCUUCCUUCACUGUGAGUUCCUCUUCAAGGUUCUUUACUAAAUAAC